AACGAACGCUGGCGGCGUGCUUAACACAUGCAAGUCGAACGCGAAAGGGGGCAACCCCCGGUAGCGUGGCAGACGGGUGAGUAACACGUGGGCAACCUGCCCGGAGGUGGGGGAUAACUCUUCGAAAGGAGAGCUAAUACCGCAUAACACCCCGAGGUUCUCGGACUUUGGGUUCAAAGCUAGCCUCUGCUUGCAAGCUAGCGCCACCGGAGGGGCCCGCGCCCCAUUAGCUAGUUGGUGAGGUAACGGACNCACCAACGGCGACGAUGGGUAGCCGGCCUAA
rnacentral:rRNA from 1 species